rnacentral:lncRNA from 1 species
ACAAGUUCAUUUUCGGCACACCUCCCCCCUCCCCUCACUCCCUUGAUUUUCUCCUAAAAUGUCUCCCCUUAUCCCUUGAAUCACUCCACCAAUUUCUCCUCAACUCCCCCCAACAACUCCAUUCAAAAUCCAUUCAAACUCCCUUUAGCUAUGUUUCAGUCCAACUCCACUAUCCACACAGCUCCAGCAGCAAAAUAAAU